ACCUUGGUGAUUCAGUGGUAGAAUUCUCGCCUGCUAUGCAAGAGGCUCGGGUUUGAUUCCUGGCCAAUGCA
rfam:Alligator sinensis unplaced genomic scaffold scaffold421_1, whole genome shotgun sequence